UACGUAGGGGGCAAGCGUUGUCCGGAAUCAUUGGGCGUAAAGAGCGUGUAGGCGGUUCGGUAAGUCGGCUGUGAAAGUCCAGGGCUCAACCCGGGAACUGCGUCCGAUACUGGUGGGCUUGAAUCCGGGAGAGGGAUGCGGAAUUCCAGGUGUAGCGGUGAAAUUCGUAGAUAUUCGCAAGAACACCAGUGGCGAAGGCGGCUCACUGGCCCGAUACUGACGCUGAGGCACGAAAGCGUGGGGAGCAAACAGG
rnacentral:rRNA from 1 species